rnacentral:rRNA from 1 species
GGAGUUAGCCGGUGCUUCUUCUGUGAGUGAUGUCCUUCCUGCCGGUUAUUGACCCGCAGGCCUUCUUCCUCACUGAAAGUGCUUUACAACCCGAAGGCCUUCUUCACACACGCGGCAUGGCUGGAUCAGGGUUGCCCCCAUUGUCCAAUAUUCCCCACUGCUGCCUCCCGUAGGAGUCUGGGCCGUGUCUCAGUCCCAGUGUGGCUGAUCAUCCUCUCAGACCAGCUACGGAUCGUCGCCUUGGUGAGCCGUUACCUCACCAACCAGCUAAUCCGACAUAGGCUCAUCCGAUAGCGCGAGGCCCGAAGGUCCCCCGCUUUCCCCCGUAGGGCGUAUGCGGUAUUAGCCUGGGUUUCCCCAGGUUAUCCCCCACUACCGGGCAGAUUCCUAUGCAUUACUCACCCGUCCGCCGCUCGCCACCAGGGAGCAAGCUCCCCGUGCUGCCGCUCGACUUGCAUGUGUUAGGCCUCGCCGCCACGCGUUCAUCUGAGCCAGAAUACGAACCCUCGA